UGCAAAGAAAAUCAUAAUCAUUUGUCAAUAGAAUCAUGCACAAGUCUGACUAUUCCUCAUGUGAAGCAUUUUAAUUAAAAAUAUACCUAAGAUAAUACUAAUCUAACUAGGUUUCCCAAAAGAAACUAUCUCAACAGCAACGGUUUAUUUUGAUGAAGUGUCUGGUUCAUCAAACCUCUUAGUUUUCUUAUUAUGUUUACUGCAUUGUAGUUUCCUUUUCAAGCACACCAGAGCAACACAAAACCCCAAAUGAUACAAAGGACUCGACUCACGCUGAAGUACAAGUUGAGUAAACAACUAGAAUUUGACUUGAUUUCCAAACCCCAAAAUAGACCCAAAAUCUCAAUAUAUUUGGUUAGGUAUAAACUUACACCAUUAUGUCAGCACAGUAUGUUCUCUGCCAUAGUGCUGAAAGCAACUAUCUUCGCGACUUGAGGCAUGUUCAUACCUCAAAACAUACAGGCGUGCUUAUAGUUGGAUUGCCAAAUCUUGUAUUUGCUGGUUUAGUUGGUGAUUGAAGGAGAUUUUACUUGUAACAAUAGAAAGAUAUUUUAAUGCUCUUAAUUUAACUACAGAUAUUUUCUUACACAGAGUUCAAACAUACAAAAGAUCCAUAUGGAUGAUGAUUAAUAGUUUGGACAUCAUGGCUUUUGUGAUUAUUGUGGUUGUUUGCACUUGCAGGUUUUAUUGGCAUAUUCUCAAUGAUCUGAACCAAAUUCAUCAUAGGUCCAAAAAGAUUAUUGAAUUUGAGCUACAUUGGUUGUAUAUCUAUUUUUUAAAUGUCAUGAGAUUCAAGUUAUAUCGUCUUAGUUCUAUCUAACCUAAACUUUGGGUGCUUGGCACUCGCCUAAUCGCUUAGGUGAGGCGACGCCUGAGCGUCUUGUCGUGCACAUCAUGCGGGCGUUUUCACUCUUGCGACGCUUAGGCAAGCAUCGACUAGGCGCUGGGCGGCCCACUUGCACGCCCGAGUGGUGUUGCACCUACGAACCCUAGUUGGGUCCAUUAAGACAAGCAAUUUGAUCCCCACCCUCGUGUGUCUCACCUACCUUGCAAUAUUUCUUCCCCUCUCCCAUUGGAGAGCUCUAGGCAUCCUCAAUUCCUACUCCCUAUUACGUGUAAGUACAAUAUCUAGGUUUAGCAUCCCGAUCCUUACAUUUUAAAAAAUUACAUUGGCAUCCAUAUAGUUACAAAAAUACAAUAUCUAGGUUUAUUUACUCUAAUGCUGUUUGUUUUACCAAUUGAAAAUAUGAAAACAAAAGAUAAAAAUAUAAUUUUAAUAUUUUAGUUGGUGGUUGUCGAUGGCCUUGGUGAUUAUUGCUAAUGGCCCCACUAAGGGUCGUGGGUGGCUGUUAUGGAUGAGGAAAGCCACGGCGAGAGGUGAGAAUCGCUUUGCAUCUAUAUCGGUGUCAAUACAGUUAUCGAGCGAUGAAAGGUCCACUAAUAUAAAUGUCAAAGGGUGCCGCUCAGCAACUGCGUUGAUGGCAACGCUGAGCGGCUUCGCUAGGCAUUUGUAUCAGUGGCCCUUUCGUCGUUUGGAAACUAUGUCGACGCAGAUGUAGAGCGGCCCUCACCUUUCGCCACCACUCUCCUCAUCCACAACAGUCACCCGUGGUACCUAGCGGCGCUAUCGUCUGGCACCACCAACGCUCACAAAUUGGAACAUUGUAAUAGUUUUUUUGUCCUUUGUUUACGUAUUUCUGUUAGUAAAACCGACGUCAGCAUGAUAAAUGAGUAUAGAUGUUUCACUUUCGUAAUUACUGGGAUGUCAAUGUAACCUUUUAAAGUGUAGGGACAGGAAUGCUAAAGGUAGCUAACUACAUGUGAUAAUCUUAGUGAGUCCCUGAUGCAUAAUAUCUGGCCGUGCCUAUACACAUUGGAAUACAUGCUAUUUUAUUUAAUCUUUUGAUCCUUUAUUAAUUUCUUGUUGCUUAACGCAUAAGUUGGUUCUCAAAUGGUUAUGAACAUCAAAUGAUUUUGUAAUAUGUAUUGAUACUGAUAGGGGACCAAUUGGUCCGUCUCGGUGCAGCCCGUGGGUGUGCGAGGUAUUGUCCGCUUUGGACGUAUGAGCGCCAAAGGGUUUUGUCCUUUCGGAGCCGGAGAGCUCCAAAAGACGCCUCUGAGGGUAAGGGAGGCACGACUGCGUUAUGAGCGCUUGGCUCCCCCACUCCUCAACCGAUGUGGGACUAAGUUGGCCCUAUCAGGUUACCCCCCCUCGUAGGGAGCCAAGGGCUCAAGGGGGGUUUGG
rnacentral:lncRNA from 1 species